rnacentral:lncRNA from 1 species
UGAAGAUCAUCUUGUGCUCUAGCUAAGGCUGCUUCUGCAAGUCUUGCUCUGUGUUCUGCAUGUUUUAAUUGUUUAAGGAGCACUGUAGUAUCAUUUAAACCAUUAGAACACAAAAUGUCUGUGGGUUCACACAGAUCUUCAGUAUCAAACUGAAGCAGGAGAUCAUCUUCUAGCUCUGGUUUCAGAUAUUCCUCUCCAUCCCAAGGCAGUGGGCUGCUGAGUGAAUUCAAAUAUGCUGGCAUAGGUUUCUUCAGCCUGACAAAGUUUAUUAGUUUAACAUAUCCAUAAAAAUCAAGCCCGUGUUUUACGACCACAUCACGAACAUUAAACUGAUGCUCUGCAUUACAGUGGCAGAACACAUCUUCGGGGCUGCAGAACCACCUGUCGCAGAAAAGGCAGCGGGCACGCAGCCCCUCGCCUGUUCCCUGCUCCUGUUGCUCCUCUUCCUCCUCCCAGGCCUCCUCGCCAUCGGACAGUUCAGCCAUCUCGUCGUCCCGCGUGGGCCCCGCGCCGCGCCCCACGUGCGCCGCUUCCGG